UACGUAGGGUGCAAGCGUUAAUCGGAAUUACUGGGCGUAAAGCGUGCGUAGGUGGUUUGUUAAGUCUGUUGUGAAAGCCCCGGGCUCAACCUGGGAAUGGCAAUGGAUACUGGCAAGCUAGAGUGCGGUAGAGGGUAGUGGAAUUCCCGGUGUAGCGGUGAAAUGCGUAGAGAUCGGGAGGAACACCAGUGGCGAAGGCGGCUACCUGGACCAGCACUGACACUGGAGGCACGAAAGCGUGGGGAGCAAACAGG
rnacentral:rRNA from 1 species